AAUAAAUUUUUUAUGGUUUAAAAAAUUUAUUUUAAAUUUAUUUUACAUAUAAAUUUUAGUGUUAAAUAUUAAUUAUUUAAAUAAUAUUUAAUUGGAUUAAGUAGUAAUUAAUUUUAAAAAUUUAAGGAAUUAAGAUUUAGUAAUAUUUAAAUUAAUAACUAAUUUUGUGCCAGCAGUUGCGGUUAUACAAAGAUUAAUUUAAAUUUUUUUAGUUAUUUAAUUAUUAAAAUAAAUAUAAUUUAAAUUUGAAAUUAUUAAGUGAAAUUUUAAUUUUAUAAAAAAUUAUAAAAUAUUUAUGAUUUAAUAAAUUUUAUUAAAAACUAGGAUUAGAUACCCUAUUAUUAAAAAUUUAAAUUUAUAAUACUAAAAUAGUAGGUAAUUAUUUAUUGAAACUUAAAUAAUUUGGCGGUAUUUUAGUUUAUUUAGAGGAAUCUGUUUAAUAAUUGAUAAUCCACGAAUAAAUUUACUUAAUUUAGAAUUUUGUAUAUCGUUGUUAAAAAAAUAUUUUUUAAUAAAAAUAAUAUUUUAAAUUUUAAAAUAAAAAUUAAAUCAGAUCAAGAUGCAGAUUAUAAUUAAGAAUAUAAUGGAUUACAAUAAAUUUAUUUAAAUUGGAUUUUAUUAUGUAAUGAAUAAAUGAAAUUGGAUUUAAAUGUAAUUUUAUUUAAAUUAAUAAAAUGAUUAAUUAUUAAAAUAUGUACAUAUUGCCCGUCGCUUUCAUUUAUAAAUUGGAAUAAGUCGUAACAAAGUAGAGGUACUGGAAAGUGUUUCUAGAAAGAA
rnacentral:ncRNA from 1 species